rnacentral:lncRNA from 1 species
GGGGUUUUCUGAGGCCGGGACGGGGGUCAAUAGGGGGUCCUCCUUGGCGUGAGCUUCGCAGUAUGCCAUCAGGUCUGCCGCUGCCUUGGACACCUUUAUCCUGUCGAUGUUGGCCUCCAUCUUCAGCUGCUCCACCAGCUUGCGUGCCUGCGCUAUGCUCGCGGUGUUGUUGCUGGCCAUCGGCACGCCGGGCACACCCCGGUCGGGCAGCAGGCAGGAGUGGGGAUGGGGGCUCGGCACAGAGCCUGGAAUCCCAAAGCUGGGUCUCACUGGUGCCGGGCGUCCUUAGGGCAACAGCUGCUCUGCUUCGGCGUUCGACACCUGCGGGCGGUGCUGCCCCGGCUCUCCCCGCGGGGCGGCAGCGGUCGGACGGACGGACGGAUGGAGGGAUGGAUGGAGAAGGGAUGCGGGCUGGAGGCAGAGGGGCGGUCAGCAGCAGCCCGGAGCGGCGAGUCCCCACCCAGCUUUGUCUGCGCU